GUCUCACCUUACCUGAAGUGCAGACUUAGAGUGAAACGUUGUUUGUUGUCGGUUCUCUGUCCGCUUUCAUCAAACCGGACUGUUCCCAGCCUUCGUAUGGGACAAACGUCAAGCUGAUAGGCUGUAAGUGGCCAUACGACAAGGGAGAGACUUGCGAGUUCAAGUGGCGGCACCACUACACGUGGAAGUCUGGUGAUACCAUCAGGACCUGUAACGGCGGCCCUACGUUCGAUAAACAUUGGUCUGGAGAACCGAUGUACUGCAAGAAAAUUGUAGACAACGGCCGAUGCUUGAGAUUAGGAUCCGAUUUAACACCUUCCCUGUACAACAUCUUGCGAGAAGGAUGUGAGCCGCCUUACAGCAACGGAGACACCUGCACCUUCACAUACAAUGACGGUUACAUUAGAGUGACCGGACACUACAACAUCACCUG